rnacentral:rRNA from 1 species
AUACGAGGGCCCCAAGCGUUAUCCGGAAUCAUUGGGUUUAAAGGGUCCGUAGGCGGGAAUCUAAGUCAGUGGUGAAAUCUUGCAGCUCAACUGUAAAAUUGCCAUUGAUACUGGAUUUCUUGAAUUAGUGUGAAGUGGUUAGAAUGUGUAGUGUAGCGGUGAAAUGCAUAGAUAUUACACAGAAUACCAAUUGCGAAGGCAGAUCACUAACACUAUAUUGACGCUAAGGGACGAAAGCGUGGGGAGCGAACAGGAUUAGAAACCCCAGUAGUCC